rnacentral:rRNA from 1 species
UACGUAGGGGGCAAGCGUUGUCCGGAUUUAUUGGGCGUAAGAGCGUGUAGGCGGCCAGACCGGUCCGUUGUGAAAACUCGAGGCUCAACCUCGAGACGCCGAUGGAAACCGUCUGGCUAGAGUCCGGAAGAGGAGAGUGGAAUUCCUGGUGUAGCGGUGAAAUGCGCAGAUAUCAGGAAGAACACCCGUGGCUAAGGCGGCUCUCUAGUACGGUACUGACGCUGAGACGCGAAAGCGUGGGGAGCGAACAGG